CAUAUAUAUAAUGUUAGACUUUUAAUGUUAUAUAUAGUAUAGGGUGUAUUUUACACUUUUAAAAUACUAGGUGGUCAAAUUUAACAAUUAUACUUUUAAUUCAAUUAAAUUGUAAACCUAAACUUUUAUGGAUUUAUUAAACCUCUUUUAAUUAUACACCUUAAUUAAUUAAUAAAACCAUAAGGGUGUGAUUUGAACUUUUUCAAAACUAUACUAGAGUUUUAGAAUUUAACAUUCCUAAUUAAACUUUUAAUCAACUUUUAAAUUCCAAAACUUGAGGGCAAGUUUUGAAACAUUUCAACACAUUAGGGUUUAGAAUUUAAAUAUACAUCAAAAUUAAACUAUUUAAUCAAAAUUUAAAUUCCAAAACUUGAGGGCAAGUUUUGAAACCUUUUUCAAAACAUUAGGGUUUCAACUAUUUAAAUUUCAAAACAACAAAACUUUUGGGUUCAAAUUUAAACUAUAAAACCUAAAGGGGAAAAUAUGAAACUUUUCAUAACAACAAGGAUCAAAUAACAAAUAAUUUAAAUUAACAUUUAAUCACAUAAUUAUCCAUAUUUGAUUUAUUUAAUGAUUUCUUGCAAAACAAUUUAUCAAUUUAGUCAAAAUAAUUAAUCAAUUAUCACAUAAGGAAACAAUUAUCUUAUUAAUUGAUAAAUAUCUUCAAUUAGAUCAAAAAUAUAGUCAAAUAUAUCAUAUAAUCGGAUUAAUAUUGAUCUAACAUGAUAAGGUAACUAUCCAAAAGCAAAAACAGCAAGAAAUCCCGAAGUACCCUCCAUCUGACGAGUUGACUCGUCGAGUCAGGCUUGGACUCGUCGAGUCUGCAUGGACUCGGCGAGUUCAGCUAUGGACUCGGCGAGUCCAGCCUCCAGAACACCAAAAAUCGAAUUUUUCAGAUAUACAAUGCAUCAAUACAAUUGAAACCAAGCUAGGCUCUGAUACCACUGAUGGGUUUUGGUCAUAAGACAUCCUAUGUGCUCAUACAAACCCUAAUGCUUGGAUCUAGGUUUCUCUAUUGUACAUGCUUUGAAUCCAAGACUAUAAACCCUAAUUCUAGCAUAUGGAAAUCAAUAUUAACAUAUAAUUAGGUUUAAGAUAUUACCUUGAUUGUUAUGUAGCAAUAACAAUCCCAAUUCCUCCUUGAAUUGACUUUGGAAGGCUUAGAGUCACAAGUGUCACUCCUCUAAUGGCUUACAAACACCAUAAGCAAGAGGAUGAAGAGGAGAGAGGAUGGAGGCUGCCCAAAACGUGUUCUAACCCUAGAAAAGAAGUUCCCCACGUUUUUGAGCCUUAAGGGUUCUAUAUAUAGUGAGGCUAUUAGGGUUAUCUAACAAGGAAACCCUAAUUUGGUUGCUUAAGCCCUAAGCAACCCAUAGACUCCUUUAAUCAAGCCCUUGGACGAUUUCCUUAUGGGCUUCCCAUAAGAAUUCGUCCACCUCUUGAUUUAAGACAAUCCAUGGCCCAAAUUGCAAUUAUCUUAUAAUUACAAUUCCAGUCCCUUAAGUUUAAUUAAUCUCUUUUAGUCACAAAACUAAUUACCAAUUAAUUAUUGACUAAUAUUAAUUAAACAAUAUGAUUUCUCCUUUAAUAUAUUAUUCUCAUAAUAUAUUAAUAAAUCAUAUUUAAUCCUUUCUCUCCAUAAUUCAUCCUAUCAAGUUGCUUUGGUGAAGGCAACCCAAAAGGACCAUGCACCAUCGGGUCAAGUACAUACCAAAAUAGUUAUGGACUUAGACACUAAUCCAACAGUCUCCCACUUGGAUAAGUCUAAUAACUAUUAUGCGUAUGACUUCAGAUCCUGAUCUGCAAUCGUAGCUUUCCAAAGCCGCUGUCAACUCUGAUCCUAUCAGAUACGCGUGUCCUUAGAUAAGGGAUCAUAUAUUCCUCCAUUCUAGAUAUCAUAUGAGAUAUGAUUUCAAAUCAUUCUCUUUGUACUAUUUCUCGAUUUCUGAUUUAUGACGACUGACUAAUUGAACAAAUCAAAUUAGCCCUAGCCCGGCCGAGCAUUUACGUUUGUCAUCACUAAAUCAUCGAGGGGCCCAAAGAUAUCGCUUUUAUCCUACUUUGGAUAAAAGGAACGGAUAAACUUUGAUACAAUGCUUGCUUGCACUCACUCACCGAAUCACACACAACAAUAUGUUUUAUAACACCAAGUUACUAGUGCGUUUACAUAUUAUCAAUGUGCAACCGAUUUGCAAGAUACAACUCACACAUCUCGGUUUCAAGAAUAUAAGAUGUUAUCGUCUCACCAAUCACUCGUGAUACAAUUCAUGGAGUGAUCCAAGUGAGCGUGGGUUUAAUCCAAUGCUCAAAUCAUAUUCAUAAGCACUCAUGAACGUUGCAGCAAACAUUUGCUUAUGUCUAAUACUCUUUAGACAAUCCACACACCAAUUCACGACAGUCUUCAUUCAUACCUACUUCCAACAUAUGAACGACUGUGGCCCGUUCGAAUAAUUUGACUGUUCUUAACCAAUUAAAUUAUUCAGGAAGUCAAAACAUGCAAAGUGAAACACAAGAAUAAUACUAAUCCCAUAUGGCCUCAAACCUUUGAGUAUAAAUAAAACACCUUUUAUUUAUCACCAUAUCGAUUACUCAUUAUUUGUCGUUUCGGGUAAUCAACUUCUUACUUGAAUUAUUACACUUGUCCCAUGCUCCUAGCAUGCACACAAUGUUUACCUAUGGUUCUUACUUUGUGAAAUAGAUCAAAUUGAACACAUUUCCAAUCAUUCUCAUUUCACAACUCCAAAUCCUUUUUCAUAAGUGUGAGAAUAUCAAAUUCUUGUUACUUAUAAAAUAUGCUAGAUUCUAACAUUCUAUGCAAUGAUCCUUUCGUAAUGUCACUGCACCAAAGUCACAAAGACUAUUGCCAAUGAUAUUACAAAGUCCUCUAUCGGAGAUUGUUACAAGACAAUUCCUUAGAUAUGAUGUCUCUCACUCAAAGUACAUUCCUUUGAACAUCCUUUUGCAUAAAAGUUUCUAAUCUAGACAUAGAUUUUCAAUAUUCAAUUCCCAAUAUGGACACGUUUCCAUAUUUUCCAUAUGACAACUCAUUCUUAAUAGAAUCUUAUCUAUUCGUAAUGAUGUCGAUAUGGUCCAUCCAAUAUGGAAACAUUUCCAUAUUUUCCAAUACUAUACUUCCAACUACUCACAAGCGACCAAUCCUCGGCGAACUUUGGAUUGUCCUUUGAUAGUUGUUUAAUUAUUUUAGUCAAAACCGAUUCUAGUCCUUUUUCCCUCUAAAUGCGCUAGACAUUUGGAAAAUUUUAGAAUGGUCAAACAUUAAAGCAUUUGCAAUCGAUCCUAUACCCGAAGCGUAUGGGACACGACGCAUAAUGUUUUAUUUGCUAUGUUCUCAAAAUUCGAAUUGUGAAGAGGAAUGCCAUAAUCAUAAUCGAAAUUUUAAGAACACACUAUGUACCUUUGACUAAAUUUAUUAACAUUUCUCAACCUAAUCCUUUAGAUUUGAAAUGAAGCAUAAUAUUCUCUCCCUUAAUUAUAGCAAAACAACUUUUCAACCCUUACAACUUUGCAAAGUAUGACUCUUGUUUUCUAUAAUUAAUAUUGCUAACCUUGCAAUACUUUCCUUAAUAAUCAUACAAUCAUAACAUUUAUGCUCCCACUAUCAUGAUGAUUAUUAUAAAACAUAACACUUAUGCUCCCACUAGCUUCGACAUGUAUUCAUAAACAUCUUAACUUUCAGAAAACAAUACUUAUUGAAUUUCUUAAGUUCAUGUUUCUAAUACUUAGUGCUUUGAUAAUCCUUUAUCAAUGCUUCUUGAACUUAUACACCUUUGCCUUCGAUAGUUCAUAUGUGUGUCUAAACAAUUAAGACUAAUUGCCAAACCUCACAAUUCAAAUUAUGGAAAGGGAUGCCGUAACCAUAAUUGAAUUCGAGAAUGCAAUUUUACAAUCACUAUCUUCUUAAAAUCUUUCUUAGUGAAAGCAUUUCCUCACAAUCAUUUUCAUGAAGGAGGAAAUCUUAUGACACUUAGAUUUAAACGGUGUAUGUGUUCCUAUCCAUGUGAAUUUGUUAAAACCAAAGUUUACGACAAAUUCAAACUCAUAUGGACCGAACUUUCUUAAUCUUGAUUUCUUGCCUUAUGGUAGCACAGCUGCCCACCAUGUCUUCCAAGUAGUUAAGCAGCUCACCCUUUCCUAUCAAUGUACUUUCCAUUGAUCAAGGUGCCAGCCUUUUAUGCGUUCAAAUGAGAACUCAUAGAACUCACAUGCAUAAUUAACUCAAUUGGAAUAGCACAGAAACAAUAUAAUGUCAACACGAUAGGUUGUAAACCUCAACUCGUGUGCUAGUGAUGAUAGAUAAGGUCUAUUUUGAUUUGUUCUUGAAACCUUUCAAGACCUUUAAGACUCCCACCGACUCCUUGACAUAUAAGAUUUUUUUGUCAAUAACCAUUUCUUGACAAACAAUUCUUCAAGAGUUAGUGUAGCUUUUAUCAAAACACUUCAUAAAUUGGUCCUAGUUGGUCUUUGUCUUAUCCAAGACAUCACAACUCUUCAUAUUUGAUUAAUGUUAUAAACCUUCGUAAUACUUGUUACUCAAUGUCACAAUCUUAACUUUAAGACUUAUUUUGGAACGAAGUAUGAUUGACUUAUUGAUUUAACCAUUUCUACAAUUGUACUAAGACUCACUUAGAGGAUCAAUUGAGAUAUGGUUCUUAAUCAUUAAGACUUAUCAUAUAGCAUAAAAGGUACUCUCCCUUCUUCUUAGAAUGGAGAAACUUUUAUCUUUCUGCCUACUUGAUUCUUCGUAUUCGUUUUGCUAUUGAUUUAAACCUUUUCAAUCAAUUCACAAUUACACUUAAUCUUAUAAGUGUAAUCAUAUUUACUAAACCUUUAGUAAAUUAUGACGAAUAUCUGUGUUACUCUUAUGGCGAACUUGAUCAACACACAACUUCGUGUGCUCGAUCUCCUAUUCCUUCACUUGACCCAUUGUCAAUGAAUUAGUCUAAUUUCCAAAUAUGAAAUUUCUCAUUCAUCAAGCAGCCAAGUUGCGUGAUUCCAAAUUUCUGUCCAAUUGAAACUUGGGCGAUGAGAAACUCUCCCUAUUUGGUAAAUUCUCGACAUUUCCACAAAUGACAUAAUUAAGAAUCAAAUCCAUUAUUGCUAAUAUUAGAAACUCUCAAACAUCAAUUUUCAUGCAUGCCAUUGCAAGGAUAAUAUAAAAUCAAAAUUUAUUUUAUUGCGGAAAAAUUUGUCCUUACAAUGCAAUUCAUUGAAAAACUAUGCUAAUACAUCUUUCUUAGCAAUCUUAUUCUAACUCUAAGUAGUAGCUCAAGAAUCUAAUCUUCAAGUAAUGUGAUUGAAAUCCAUUUCUUCACAGUUAGAUUCUGCUCACUUCUUCCCUUAAGCUUCCUUUCUUUUCUUCGAUCCUACAAAACAUCAAUUGUAAUCUUAUCACAUUAUGUAUUAAGAAUCUAGAAUAGAAGCUUAAAAGAGUUAGUUAAUGGAUUUUACCUAUAUUAGAGCCAUACGUUUCGACUCUCCCAUCUCUUAGAUCUCUUAGGUAAAUGGGGCAGCUUCGUCUCCAAUGCCCUUUCUCUUGGCAAUAAAAGCAAAUUGACUCUUUUGGAACAUGACAUGGAACUACUUCAGACAUUGCCUUUCUCUUAUGAUCAAACUUUUCGAUCAUAGCAUGUCUUUCGUUGCCAUUGUCUAUAUCCAUAGAGGUCUUGAAGGCAGAUUCACCAAUCAACUUUGCUUUUCUAUUGCGCCAAACCAUUGCUGAUUCAGCAGCAAUAAGCAUAUAGGUGAGAUCUAUAAGGGUCACGUCGCGGUUCAUCAUAUAGUACUCUCUUACGAACUCACUAUAUGAGUUAGGAAGUGACUGAAGAACCCAAUCAACAGCCAUUUCCUCACAGACAACGGAUCCCAACAUUCUUAACCUAUCAAUGUGUGACUUCAUCCCUAGGACGUGUGCACACACCGACUUUCCUUCUUUAUGUUUACUUGCCAAAAGGGCUUGAGUGAUCUUGAACUUUUCAAGCCUUUGAACUUGUGGGUUAGGGAGAAUAAUUGGAGGAGGUGGAGGAAGUGAAGCAUGAUUUCUUGUUCCUCGAUCGAAUCGUGGAAUAUCAUCUUCAUGUGGAAUGCUUGUUCCACGGGAUUUGGGAAGACCAUAGUUGUCGAACUUUGACAUCUACAAAACGGGAGAAAACGAAUUCAAGUUAGUUGAUUGAUUGAGUCCUUAGUAAAUCACCCAAAUGAGAUACUAAGGCUAGGACCCAACACAAUAUUCUACAACUCGGGAGAGGGAUGCCGUAACCCUAAUUGCAGAAUAUUUGAAGGUAAGUGAAUGACGAUUCACUAAUUUCCACCAUGAAAAACGAAAAAGAAAUUUAAGUUUUAAAUCUAUGAAAACUCCUAGAUCCUUUGAGAUUCAUUGAACUUUCAAUGGCAUGUUUAAAUCUCGAUAUGCCCCUCUUGUUUGUGACUGGGAUGCCGAGGAUCACAAAGCGGGUGUGAAUAACCAUGCAAACUUACAUGGUGCCCUCACAUGUUACAGUCACCUAUUCGAUGUGCCGGUAAACCACACACGCUCCACCGAACUAUGACAAACAUUGAGUCACCCUUUGCUACCUUUGCUUAGAACCAUUUAGUGUGCCGGUAAACCACACACGCUCCACUAACGUCUUCGCAAGGGCACAAAGUGUAAUUUCAUGGAAUUGCAUCAAUUCACUUUUGCCUAAGUAACUAAGAUUGGGAAUUUUAUGAAAACAUUUAGUUACUUUAAUAAUUCAUUAUACUUAUAAUGGAAGGUUUCGUCCUAUCCUACCCGUUCGGCUAACGACCCUCCACUAGUCAAGAGUGCGGUGGGUAAGAGUGGAUACCCAUUCAAUCGCCAUUUUAUAGGCAAUUUCCUUAAACACCCCUUAUAGACCAGCUUCGUGAAUGAGGCCUACUAACGGUAAGACUGACUUUUACUCAUACAUAUAUAUAAUGUUAGACUUUUAAUGUUAUAUAUAGUAUAGGGUGUAUUUUACACUUUUAAAAUAUUAGGUGGUCAAAUUUAACAAUUAUACUUUUAAUUCAAUUAAAUUUUAAACCAAAACUUUUAUGGAUUUAUUAAACCUCUUUUAAUUAUACACCUUAAUUAAUUAAUAAAACCAUAAGGGUGUGAUUUGAACUUUUC
rnacentral:lncRNA from 1 species